UCCCGGGGGGCUAAUUCCAGGGUUGAAGCUCACGUUAGGGAGCGAGGCCGGGGCUCCCUAAAUGUUUCCAUGAGCUGUUUAUAUUGAGUUCAUGGAAAGGUGGGCACUUGUAAAUAACUUUUUUAUUCCAUAUUCAUUAUUUAAUAAAGCUCUAAUGAAUAUGGGAUUAUAAAUCUUUAAAAACAAUGUUAGUAACAUUGGUUUUAAUGAUUUAAUCGUUAUUGAAAUUAUUGUACCGAUCAAUAAAGCGCAGUAACUUAAUUCUAGUGUGAUUAUACAUAUACUAUGCACGAUGUGCACGUGCGUCUACUCUACUAUAGCUCCCGUAUUUUUACGUAUUAUUAAUUGUACAUACUAUAUAAUAUACUUACGUGCUGUCUUGUAUAUAAUACUGCUAAUACUCCCGGGGGGCUAAUUCCAGGGUUGAAGCUCACGUUAGGGAGCGAGGCCGGGGCUCCCUAA